rnacentral:rRNA from 1 species
GUGACGGUACCUACAAAAGAAGCACCGGCUAACUAUGUGCCAGCAGCCGCGGUAAUACAUAGGGUGCAAGCGUUGUCCGGAAUUAUUGGGCGUAAAGAGCUCGUAGGUCGUUUGUUACGUCGGAUGUGAAAACCUGAGGCUCAACCUCAGGCCUGCAUUCGAUACGGGCAAACUAGAGUUUGGUAGGGGAGACUGGAAUUCCUGGUGUAGCGGUGGAAUGCGCAGAUAUCAGGAGGAACACCAAUGGCGAAGGCAGGUCUCUGGGCCAAUACUGACACUGAGGAGCGAAAGUCUGGGGAGCGAACAGGAUUAGAUACCCUGGUAGUCCAGACCGUAAACGGUGGGCACUAGUUGUGGGAACCUUCCACGGUUUCUGCGACGCAGCUAACGCAUUAAGUGCCCCGCCUGGGGAGUACGAUCGCAAGAUUAAAACUCAAAGGAAUUGACGGGGCCCCGCACAAGCAGCGGAGCAUGCGGCUCAAUUCGACGCAACGCGAAGAACCUUACCAAGGCUUGACAUAUAGGGAAAAGUGACAGAGAUGUCAUGUCCGCAAGGGCUCUAUACAGGUGGUGCAUGGUUGUCGUCAGCUCGUGUCGUGAGAUGUUGGGUUAAGUCCCGCAACGAGCGCAACCCUCGUUCUGUGUUGCCAGCAUUUAGUUGGGGACUCACAGGAGACUGCCGGGGUUAACUCGGAGGAAGGUGGGGAUGACGUCAAAUCAUCAUGCCCCUUAUGUCUUGGGCUGCACGCAUGCUACAAUGGCC